rnacentral:lncRNA from 1 species
AUGUCUUCAGCCUUCAUUGUUUCUGAUGAGAAGUUUUCAUUCUUACCCAUUUUUUGGUAUAUAACACGCCCUUUUUCUCUGGCCACUUUUAAGUUUUUUUUUUUUUUUUUUUUUACUUUAUUUUCAGCCAUUUGCAUGAUGUGCCUAGUGCAGUUAAUUUUUCCAGUAUAUUGUAUAUGUUUUUCUGUACUGGUCUCACUUGCUUCUCUUUCUAGGACUCCAAUUACAUGUCUGUUAACUGCUUAAUACUGUCCCAAAUGUUAUUGUGGCUUCCUCCCACACCCCCAGUAAUUUUUCUCUCCGUGCUUCAGAUUGAAUGAUUUGACUUGUCUUCAAGUUCAUGAAUUAUUUCUUCUUUUGUAUUCAAUCUGCUGUUAAUCCCAUUCAAUAACUUUAAUUUUAGAUGUAGUAUUUUUCAGUUCUAACAUUUCUCCUUGGUUCUUCUUCAUGGUUUUCAUAUCUGCACUGAAAUGUCCCAUUUCUUCACCAAUUAUAACAUUUUUUGCUGUAGGUUUAUACUAUUUUAUAGAUACUAUAAAUUUAUACUGUAGGUGCUAUAAGUUUAGCAAAUUUAGCUACCUUGAAGUGUUUGCUAGUUUCAACAUUGGGGGCAUCAGUAUGUCUGUUUCCCCCAAAGAGUAUAUCUGUUUUUAUUGACCGAUUUAUUUUUUUAUUGACUGUGGUUUACAUUUUCAUGUUUCUUUCCCUGUCUACUAAUAUUUUAUUGUAUGAUAAUACAUGUUAGGGACUCUGAAUUCUAUCACCUUCCUCUAAAGAGUGUUGAGUUUUGUUCUAUAAGGCAGUUAAGUUAUGACAGAGCAUCUUAUACUUAAAGGGGCUUGAUUGUAGGCUUUGUCAGGGUGGAUCUAUUCAGCUUGAUCCUUAGUUUUAGGGCAAAUCCCUUAGUCCUGGAAGUGGUCCCUAAAUCUAAGGUGUGGGCUUUUUGAAGUUUAAUGGAAACCGUGAAGUGUUUGCCACAUCACUCUAUUCUUGCAAGACUUGAACUUUGAACUCAGGAGACCUUUGGGUGGUCAGCUGCUGAAAUACCCACUCGGGACUUUCAGAUUUCUAGCUCUUUGCCCUAGAAUCAUGGGGGUUUUUGCCUUGCUUGCAGCCAAAGAUCUGAGGGGAUUUUAUACACAGAUUUUGGAGUUUCUAUGAUUGCUCCUUUUAGGGAUUUCCCAUCUUGACUUCUAACCACUCUGACAGCCCAAACUCCAUUCUCUGACUCCUCAGAUAGGUAAGACUAUGACAUUCUGCCUGAGUCCUACCUGCCCAGUGCCAUGGACAGGGGAGUGCACUCAGGUAAAGUUGUAUAAACAUGCAUAUCUCCUUUACAGCAUUGAAUCCCUUACAGUUGCUAUCACGGAAAGUAAUCAUUAGGUGACAUCCCCCUAUUUACCCUGAAGUUACUGAACCAUCUUCCCUGGAUUUGUGCAGGGUGUCUCCUAAUUUACGAAGAUUCCAAUUAGAUUGGGAGUAUGACUUAACUCAUUUAAGUCACCCAAAUGCUAUUUGAUCAUAAUUUAGUGUCUUGUUAACCUAAUGGCUUGAAAUAAAUUGACGCACUUCUGAAAAUAGGGUAAAAAUCCCUGAUUUUUCAAGGAGGCUAAUCUUCCGUAAAUGCUAAGCACUAUAGAAUCAAUUAUGUUAUUAAUUUGCUCUUGGUUGCAAGCUACAAAGCUUGAUCAGGCUAAUUACAGAUUAUGCUCUGAGGAAAAUAUUUUUAUAUGCACUAUUUUUUUCUUGCAGGCACUUUAAUAUGAGGUUUUAAAAAACCUUACUUAAGACAAAUAAAAAAGAAAACCUUCAUGUAAUUACUUUACCUGCAGGCUAAUUUUUAAAUACUUCAACACCGUAACAAUUAAAUGGGCUAUGUUAGCUUCAGUUGACAACAUUUAUUUAUUUAUUUAUUUGCAAUGAGACCUCAUAAUAUCCACCAGGCUGGUCUCGAACUCCUGGGCUCAAGAGAUCCUCUUGUCUUAGCCUCCCAAAUAGCUGGGCCUACAGGUGCCAGCCAUUCUGCCUAGCUAGUUGAUCACUUUUAGGGAAGGCAACACCCACAAGAUUUGUUGGACCUGAACUUCUUAUGGUGUGUCUGAUUUUAAAUGAAAUGAAUUUUGCUAAAGUCUCACAAAUGGUUAACUCUUCUGCCUUUAUUACAUGUUUUAAAUAGUUGAUUUAUCUCUUAGUUUCUUGCAGCAUAAUUGGUAUAUUGCUUCUCUUGCUAACAUGUCAUUUUACUGUAGGUGGUUAACUGAAUGUAUUCUCUCUGUAAAUUUCAACAAGUUGCUCAUAAAAUUUUCCCAGCAGAAACUUUUUGUUUCGUAUUUAAAAACUGAAUACACUGUCCUUUAUUUAGAGAGUGUAUGUUUGGAAAAUCAUCCUGUUUAUUUGUAAAUAAAGAUGAACCAGCCAGUCACAAGAUAUAGUUUGUCUUGUUACCACUUAAAAAAAUCCCUUAUAUUUACAAAUAUAAUUCAUUCACAAAACUACCCUUGAUAGAAUUAGG